rnacentral:rRNA from 1 species
CUUACACAUGCAAGUCGAACGCGUGUAGCAAUACACGAGUGGCGCACGGGUGAGUAACACGUGGAUUAUCUGCCUUUUGGUUCGGAAUAACCCCGGGAAACUGGGGCUAAUACCGGAUGGUUCCUACGGGAUAAAGAUUUAUCGCCAAAAGAUGAGUCCGCGCCCGAUUAGCUAGUUGGCGGGGUAAUGGCCCACCAAGGCAACGAUCGGUAGCUGGUCUGAGAGGACGAUCAGCCACACUGGGACUGAGACACGGCCCAGACUCCUACGGGAGGCAGCAGUGGGGAAUAUUGGACAAUGGGGGCAACCCUGAUCCAGCCAUGCCGCGUGAGUGAUGAAGGCCUUCGGGUUGUAAAGCUCUUUUGGCGGGGACGAUGAUGACGGUACCCGCAGAAUAAGCCCCGGCUAACUUCGUGCCAGCAGCCGCGGUAAGACGAAGGGGGCUAGCGUUGUUCGGAAUUACUGGGCGUAAAGCGCGUGUANGCGGCUGCCAAAGUCGGGUGUGAAAGCCUUGAGCUCAACUCAAGAAAUGCACUCGAUACUUGGUGGC